AAAUAAUUUACCUGUAUGCAGAUUAUGUGACUCUUAUGGUAAUGGAUAAAUUGGAGAAGCAACUCAUUAGAAAAGUCAAAAUUGCUUUCGAGAAGUAUGAGAUAAAGUAUGGCCUAGCAGUCGACAAUUAUAAAAUAGAUACUACCGAUUUGUAAUUGGACUUCGAUAUCUUACUCCAAAACUCGAGGUUACGUAAUUAGAGAAAGUUAAGAAGUUCUUGGGAUAAAGUAGGAGUAACGGUAGGAAACUGGAAUUCACUUUAAAGUUUUAUCCAUAAAAAAUUAGCGGAGUGGAUAAAUUUUAACUUACAAAAUAGGAUCGACUUAUAUAACGCAAAAUUAAUUCCAUGGAUCUCAGAUAAAGCUACUUUGUCUCCGAUAGUCAGAUUAAGCAGAGGGGGAAAAUAGCUUGAAAAGUUAUUUUAUAAAUCAUACAUUCCAUCAUUAAAAAGAAGCACGAAGCAACUCGAAGUUGGAUUGUCAUGAUUUCUACUUUUUUGCGAUGAGUUUACACGAAGAUUUUUCUUAAUUUAAUUCUGCACCCGGAUGUUGGUUGGAAGUCUUGUAUUUCCUCGAGUAGUAUUUUUUACUUGAUUUUUUUUUGGAACAAAAAUGAUAAGUUCGCAAGUGGAUCAAUUCUCUUCCUUUAUUGGCGCAAAUUAUAGAUUUCUGUAGAUAAACGAUGUGGUUUUUAACUCAAACUCCUUAAUCUAGAUAAUACAUAACACAAGUGGAUGGAUGCAUUUCUUUCCCUUCCAUGAAAAUCCCAUAAGCAUGGAAAGGGAAGUGUUGGAUAAUAACGUAAUUUCAAUUCAUGGACUUAAAUGUGUUGAUAUUUUCUCAAAAGGGAAUCUAGUUUAUGCUUUGCAAAGGACAGCAGCAACACAGUAUCUGCUGACUCCUUGGCCUAUAACAACGGCUUUAUUAAAAAAAAUAUCAACCGAAGCCUUCACACUUUGAAGAAACUAUUGUAUUCUAAGUAUGACAAGACAAUUGGAAAAUCCAGAUACUGAAAUCUACCAAAAGAAUUGCCGAUAGCCGGAAAUUCACUGUCCAAUUUGAAGUGGUUAAGGGUUGCAUAAUAUUUAAUGAUUACUGCAAAUACUGUGGAAGAUUGUUGAAUAGAAGUUUGGUCCUAUGAACACCUCGCCCAUAAUUAUUUUUGGGCUGCCCAAAAAUAAGUUAAUGCCUUCGAAGAAGUUUAAAACAAUCGGUUUGGCAUAUUUACCUCCAAUUCUUAUGUAGCGAAAUAGUUGACCUUGAAGGGUCAAAUGGAUAGUAUGGAGUUAAGAAUCAUACUUAUUGCGGUUGCGUCAAGAUACAUGACAUUCGAAUUAAAAAUACCUAAGGACAAUACAUGGACGUUCAAUUAAGUGCUGAAUAUUGGAGGGUAUUUUCCAGAAAUCUUUAUAAAAUACAUUAAAAUUUUAAAUAUCAUUAUCAAAUCUUCAAAAACAUUAAAAUAGGACAAUUCUGCAUACUUAUUUUUAGAUUUCUAACUUUUUGGCUAUUUUAUGUUUUUCUUUGUUGUUGGGAUUUUUAUAAAUCUUACUUUUUUAAUAA
rnacentral:lncRNA from 1 species